AGAGUCCUUGAGAGGGUGAAAACUCCUCAUUCAUCUUUGUAUCUUCAGUCAGAAAGGAAUGCACUUAAACCACCUCAGAAUGAUAGCUUCCUACUACAUUUUCUUUCAGGAACUUCAGAGAGGGCUCCCCCCACCACAUACACACUUUUGUAAUCCCUCACUCCCCAAAUUGUCUUAAUGUAUUUCAGGGCCUCCCAGCCCCCUGUGGAUGAGAAGUUCUUCCUAAGCUCCCUUCUGUGUUCCCAGACCUUUCUUUUUGUCAGUGGAAAAGGAGAACACGAUCCAUUCUUCAGCACAAUAGCCGUUCCCGUACUUUCAGAUUUAUUCAUUGAGUUUCCUCCAGCCUCACCUUCUCUUGAUUAAAUAAGGUUUCUGCUGGUCUCAGACCUGUCAUCGAGAGUUCUCACUUUCAUUGUGCAUAGAAAACGAUCAGAAGAAACUCACCCAGGACAGACCAAAAGCCACAGGAAGCUCUGCCCAUUGGAGCCUCGCCAUCUCCAACCAUCAGAAUGGAGAUUCUCCCAGAGCAAAAGCAUCCUGCAGGAGCACAAGACAGAUAUUGGAGGGAAGUUCACAUGUUUCUGCCUGAGACUGGGGCUCUGGUAGGAAACUUCAGAGGAAGACACGCUCUGGAAGAAAGCAUGCUAAACCUACUUAGACAUCAAAUUCACAACCAAUUGCAGCCCCCAAAGGGAAGGUCUCACUCACAUCUUGGGCUGAGACACAGGCUUUCCCUGGGGCAAUUCCCCUCAUAGUGCCCCAUCUUGCUCCCUUAGGCUCCUGCAUUUCUCUCUGUCACUCCCUCUCCAACCUUCUCCCCAGGAUUUCCCUUUUCUUCUUUCAUCCUCUUUUUUUACUGCCACUCUCUAUAGCUCUUCUCCCUGUAGCUUCUCCUUUCUUCCCUUUCCCCCCCGCAAGGAGCUGAUAAGCCUGUGUUUUUUGUUUGUUUGUUUCUUUGUUUGUUUUGAGAUGGAGUCUCACUCUGUUGCCCAGGCUGGAGUGCAGUGGCGUGAUCUCGGCUCACUGCAACCUCCGCCUCCCAGGUUCAAGCAAUUCUCCUGCCUCAGCCUCCCAAGUAGCUGAAAUUACAGGCGCGCACCACCACAGCCAGCUAAUUUUUGUAUUUUUUUAAUAGAGAUGGGGUUUCACCAUGCUGGUCAGGCUGGUCUCGAACUCCUAACCUCGUGAUCCACCUGCCUCUGCCUCCUAAAGUACUGGGAUUACACGUGUGACCCACUGUGCCUGGCCAAGCCUGUGUUUUAAGUCUGGGUGGCGUUAAUGGGGAAUAGAUGCUUAGAAAACAAAAUAAUUUGCAACACUAGCAUCUGCCUUCCAUGGGAUUCUCUUGCUGAUUCCUUCUUAACCGGACCUAGCUAGUGGAUUAUACAUUUGGUUUGCUGUUUUCCUUUAUCCAGGAAGUUCUUAAAGAAGUCUUGUAUUACAGUGCACAUUUAAUUACUCACUGUUGCCUACCCUGCUAUUUAUGUGUUUAUUUUUGCCAAAUAAUUCUACAGAUUUCUCAGUAACUGGCUAGUUAAAACCCUUCUGCAUUCUCUUCUUCUUAAUGAAAGUCCAGGCCUCCCUGUAUUGAUAGAAUCAUCUUUUAUACAUGUGAAUAAAUUGGCAAACUCUAUUUCUAAAAUGUCCACAGAUUUCCCCUUCUAACCUGCUCUCAGGGAGUUAUUUCUUGGCCUUGGGCUUAUCUGGAAAGGAUGCUGUGUAAAAAAAAAAAAAAAAAAAAAAAAAAAAAGGACAUUAUUUUUGUUUUCAGAACUCUUCUGGGCAGAGAGACUUCUUUUUAUUUAUUUUGUAAUUAGCUGUUCUGGAGCUAUUUUUCAAAAUCACCCAUGAAAAGAGGCAGAGAACCCUAGUGUAUCACAGUGAGCCUUUCAUCAUGUGCCCAUGCAAUCAAGCUGUUCUGUGACCAUCCAGGAGGGCUAUGAGAGACAGCAUCCCCUUGUAAAGUUUUGAAUUUGAACAUUGCAUCCCUUUCCUGGCUUCAUGGUCCCUGGGGGUUUGGGGAUGGCAAGAUAUAGCGCCUAUACCAUCUGACCUAAUGACCAAGGGGAGUGGCAGUCUUCAUGCCCAGGCAAAGUCAGUCUCCACGGCUUGCAGAUUCUUAGAUGAUUCACAACGCUCCUGAUUAAUAUCACAGAAGCCUCAAUACUGCAGUGAUUUGGCAAUCUCUGUGGGUGGGUGGGAAGCGUGCGCAUGUGUGUGCAUGGUGUAGAGUUGCACAUGCUGCAACGAGGAAAACCCGGAUCCCAAUUUCUCUCUUGGGAAAACAUUAAAGCACAGCCAAAAUAACCAACAGAACUGCCUGUGUCUACACAUCAAUAUUGAGCUUUAUGAAAUUAUACAAUCUGAAUAAACAAUUCUGAAUGCACCAAACCAGUAAAUACAUAUUAGCAGUUUUUAAGCAGAACAAUCUCCUCACUCACAGUGUAUGCACAUGCUGGCUCAAUUCACAGACUUUACCUGUCCCCCAGUAUAGACAAAGAGUUUUUCAUUUUAAAGCUACACAAAGAUUAUGAACACAGAAUCUUUUACCUCCUCAAACUACUAGAUCCUAAUAAAAAUAUUUUGUUCCAAAGAAACAAACUUCCGCCAGGCAGAGUUGAUUUUUAUUUUGUGUUAUGCUUCUGGAAUGUGUUACGCCUAUUUAAUGUAUGGCAUCUUAACAAGAACACUGCCUUAUGUUUCAGCCACUCUCUUCCAUACACAAAGUACUUUCAUAUUUAUUAUCUCAUUUUUAUUUUGUAUCUUACAACAAGUCCAUGAAGCAAGUACUACCAUCUCCUUCAUUUCACAGAUGCUUGAUCUGAGGUUUCCAAAACAUAAGUAACAUGCCCACUGCCUCAGAGCUAGUUAGAGCAAAGCUGAGACUCCCAUCCCAGGCUCUCCAACUUGACAUCCAAUACUCAUUCCACUCUCUGCCAUCUCCCUCCCCAGUAAACAUCAUAAUGAAGCUGUACUCUUGGCAAUAUGGG
rnacentral:lncRNA from 1 species